CGGGUGAGUAACGCGUGGAUAACCUGCCUUGCACUGGGGGAUAACACUUAGAAAUAGGUGCUAAUACCGCAUAAGCGCACAGAGCCGCAUGGCUCAGUGUGAAAAACUCCGGUGGUGUAAGAUGGAUCCGCGUCUGAUUAGCUGGUUGGCGGGGUAGAAGCCCACCAAGGCGACGAUCAGUAGCCGGCCUGAGAGGGUGAACGGCCACAUUGGGACUGAGACACGGCCCAAACUCCUACGGGAGGCAGCAG
rnacentral:rRNA from 1 species